GAUAAGGUUAGCAUCCUCACCGCCAUCAUCAUCAUCACCGUCAUCACCACCUCACUGCAUAAUGCCCAUGAAUAGUGCCAUGCUCUAUGAUGCUAAGGACAGAGCACAGAAGGCAGACCACUCCUACUCAUACGGCCCAAUAGCAAAACAUCCUUUUAGUUUCAAAGGUUUGCAUUAAUUUUAAUUUGCUUUUGUACUAAGAUUAGCAGACAAGCCAAUCUUCUUCUUUCACAUAUUGGAAAAAUUAGUCUUCAGAAUUUUAAAAUGGAGUUAAUAGGAUCAGAUGUUUAGUGCCCUACAUUGCUGACCUAGUUUAUCUUCUUUCUCUUCAGUUUCCUUGUAAUUAUGAACAGUUACAGCUGCCUGUGACUUCAAAAAGCAAUGCUUAUGAUUCUGGAAAGUGGCAUUUUAAGUUUCACGUUGGCCAUGGACUUUCUAGCCAGCAUACCUGAAUGCACUGUUUGCUCAGUCAGCCCUGACUUUGCACUUUCUGCUUCCCCAAAGGCAAUGCCUGCCUACUCUCUAUUUUCAUCUCCACACAGGCUCAGAUGUUAUCUCUAUGAACACUCCAUGUAUGACUCCUUGCUUCUUGGCUUUUCUCCUGAGGUCAUCUGUAUGUGUACGAUCACUUGGAACUUAGUGAAUAUAAUGUGGAAUUUCUUGAUUUGAAGUGUUCCACCAUCGAUGAGCAUUUUCUUCAUUGGAUUUUCCAAAAACGAUAAUCAAAGCACAAUUUUCACCUUCUCUGCCAUAAACUAUGCUAUGCCAAAUUCCGGAAAGGAAGAAUUAAGGGAAUUAUUUAUUGUCCAAGUGAUUAAUAGAAUUGAGCAGUAACUUCCUCUGGUCAACGUCAUUUCACUCAGGAAAGCCCAUAGGUGUUAGAUUCUGGAGAUGUAUCAGCAUUUGCAUACUGCUUUUAAUGACUUCAAGCUACUAUAACAAAACAUCUUAGACUGAGUCAUUUACAAACAACAGAAAUGUAUUGUUUGGGAUUCUGGAGCUCGAGAAUUCUCAGAUCAAGGCAACAGCAGAUCUGGUGUCUGUCUGGUGUUCUGCUUUGGCAGUAGCACUUUGUCGUUGCAUCGUCACAUGAUGGAAACAGGAAGGGAGUGUGCUACAGCCUUUUCCCUUUCUUGAAGAUGGCACCAUCCUGACUUAAUCACUUCCCACAGACCUACCUCUGAAUAUUGUCAUAUUAGGGAUUAUGCUCCAAUAAAUGAAUGGAAGAGGUAGACCGACCUUCAUUCCAUAGCAAUAUCUACAAAGUUAAUUUCUAGUGAGCAACACACUAUACAAUUUCCUAAUUAAACAAGACACAGUUGUAUUAGGAAAAUCCUUUAAAUUAAGGGGGAAAAAGAACAUUAGACUUCUGUUCAAAGGCUGGGGACUCAUGCAAUAUCACUGAAGGCUAGAGCAAUGGGUACAAAAGAACACUGGGUAUUGAAUAAAAGGCCUGGUUUAGGCAUCAUGACCAUCUCGGGCUUAUGAAUUUGACUGUUUUCUGCAAGUCUUUGUUCUUUAUCAUCUAAAUAAUAGAUGUAAUAGGCGAGAAAGGUAUUUGCUCUUCUCCAACUCACUGUUGAAAGGAUAAGCAUUCAAAAGCAUUUUAAAAUAGAUAAAAACUUUGUACAGUCCUUAGACCUUGAGAACUACAUUUGUGAGCCAUUGUUUUUGUAGCUAUCUGACUGACAUUUACUUUUGUUAUGACAAAAUUAGUUGUCUCACUUCAUUUGUUUUUUCAACAUACUGCAGAUUUUUCCUCUUUCAUUAUUGAGAAAUUGCUGUUCAGGUACCUGUCUCUUUAUGUGUAAUUAUUUAUUUAUCUCUAUUGCAUUUGACCAAC
ensembl:lincRNA